ensembl:lncRNA
GUCUCGAGGGACGCACGCGUCCAAGUUCAAAAGGGUCACGCUGAGAAAAAGCUCUCGCUCGGCGGGCAGCACGGAGGAAAUCAGCUUUCUGUGCAUCCACGGCCUCGGAGCACAAAGCAGACUCAUUUCUUAAUAGAGGCAGAGAAACACUCUUCUAUCAGACACACGGAAAGUAAAAGCGAGAAAACCCAGGGGAUAGAGGAACGGGUUUAACUCUUAUUAGUGAAGAAAAGAGCUUCAGAGCGCUCAAGAUCAGAGGAAAUGAGGAGCGGAAAUAAUAAAACGUCGAUUAACGUUCAUAUCAGAUUUCCCUGAAAAAAAAGAGCGCUCUUCAAGGGGUCUUUGGAUAGUCGAAAGCUCUCUUGCUCCCGAAAGAGCUUGUCAUGUUGCAGAGAAACCGCCAAAAAAAACAAAGGUAAAC